AUUGAACGCUGGCGGCAUGCUUUACACAUGCAAGUCGAACGGCGGCGCGGGCUUCGGCCUGGCGGCGAGUGGCGAACGGGUGAGUAAUGCAUCGGAACGUGCCCAGUAGUGGGGGAUAGCCCGGCGAAAGCCGGAUUAAUACCGCAUACGACCUGAGGGUGAAAGCGGGGGACCGAAAGGCCUCGCGCUAUUGGAGCGGCCGAUGUCGGAUUAGCUAGUUGGUGGGGUAAAGGCUUACCAAGGCGACGAUCCGUAGCUGGUCUGAGAGGACGACCAGCCACACUGGGACUGAGACACGGCCCAGACUCCUACGGGAGGCAGCAGUGGGGAAUUUUGGACAAUGGGGGCAACCCUGAUCCAGCCAUGCCGCGUGCGGGAAGAAGGCCUUCGGGUUGUAAACCGCUUUUGUUCGGGAAGAAAUCCUCUGGGCUAAUACCCCGGGGGGAUGGCGGUACCGGAAGAAUAAGCACCGGCUAACUACGUG
rnacentral:rRNA from 1 species